rnacentral:misc_RNA from 1 species
UAGGACACAUAGCUCAAGCGCUUCAUUUUCAAUCAUAGCAAAAGGAAACUUGAUCAAAGCUUCUAGUUCAUAUUCUUCAAACUUAGGCUCCUCUACUUCAAGUUAUGUGUUUGAAUCCUAAAGUUCACUUUGUUCCUCACUUUCUCGUUUUUCAACAACCAAGUAGGGAUGACAAUGGGUCUGGUUUUUGCGGGUACUCUAUCCGACCGAAAAGGACGAGUUUGGGUAAUAUAUUAUCAAGUUUGGAACGGAUUUGAGUUUAAAAUUUAAUACUCUUGACGGGUUCGAAUCGGGUUCGG